GCAUAAAUGACUACAUUGACAUGAUGUUACGGCACUGCAGCUGCACUUCAAAAGAACUGUAACAGCUUGGAUUGUCACAAGGACGCGCCACUCAAAUUUGUCAGGGACGCCUUCCAGACAUUAUGGCCUUUGUUGCAAUCAAAAGAUUUGUGCAUGGGCCUCAGGGAGUUCACAAGUAUUAUAGGAAAAACUAACACAUGUAGAGUAACUCCUCCUUUGCCAAAGAGGAAAUUCCACUGAAAUUGGAUUCUUGUGCUGUGUGUGGGCCACAGCAUUAUUGAAAAUUAUUUCUUCUAGGAUGUUUUUAGAUUUUGUGUCCCCAGCAACAUCCAAAUCGGGCAUGGUUAACAUGAGGCUAGUAAGUUUAGGCAUUGAUUAUCCUUGGAUUUAGCAGAUCAUAAAAGUUAUGUUUAAUGAGAAGUGUGUGGUGUCGAAGGAGUUUAGUCUGGUGGCAACAACCAUGAGCUUGAGAGACAAAACCUCUCAGCCAAAGGAAGUCACAAGAAUUUGGUCAACCAACACUGACUUUCAGUGUCUAAGUAUAUGAAGUUGACAGAAUAUCCAUUGCACAUUGAAGAAGCCUUACAAUCAAGCUGGGCCAAACCAACUGGCAAAGCUCAGGUGCAGCUGAAGGAGCAAUGAAGACAGGACCAGUUUUCUCCAGCCCAAAGUCAUCUUGUCAUCCUCAAUUAACGCUUGCAUAGUGAUUGGAAGAUAUGAAGUAUAAGCAAAUGUCUGGUCCCUCUCUUUUCUCCUUACCCUCUCAUUAGUGUUACUCACUACAAUUCUUCUAUUUUCAGGCAUGUGUAAUGUGGCAGUGUGGUCUCUUCCCUCCACUUAUGCUGCAAUUGUAUUUGAUCAUGGAAACUCCGGACUUUUUUACUUCUAAGUAGUAUACUUAUAAAAUAUUGAGGUUAAUUAAGAGCUCCCAUUGGAGGAACCCUUGCCUUGGAACUGCUGUGUGACUUGAGUAACCCUGAGGCUGUCCUGGGAAUCUGUUCUUCCCACUCCCUUGGCUCUUCACCUGGGAAUUGUCUUCUCUUUGUUACCAGUUGGUUUCUUUUUCCCUCUUCAGCUAGCAUUCUGUUGCUUAGAGAACUCAGUAGGGAGCCUCGAAUGGUCACCUUGGGACUUACUAUUUUAUGGUUUCAGUUCCCUGUUACUAUCAUACAAACCUAUUUUGUGUAUUUUCUGGCACUUUCUAGACCUUUGCUGUGUUUUGUCUUUAGUGGGAAAUCUUUCUUGUCCCAUCUGAACUCUAUCCUUACAUACUGCAGUGAGAUUUCACCUCUGGGAAAUUCCUGGUGGUAAUCCUUUGCUUCCUGUCUCUUAUCUCUAUCAACAUUUCAUCUCACCCCUUUAACGCAGAGCAGCUACAUUCCAUUUGAACUGCCAUAGGAAAGCUGAGCCCAGUAGAGGCAUCCACAGGAGGGAUGAAGAUUGUGAUCAGCUGACCAAUUUGAAAAGAUCAAACACAUUUUCCCCAGUGUUUAAUCUCCUUCUAUUAAAAAUACAGUAGUGAGAACAAACUUACGUAUAUUCUAUUCCACUUUCUUUCAAAAGAUCUUCAACCUCUAAAGACAUGUCAGCUUCAACUCGGAAAUCAACUUCUGUUUUUGGCCUUACCAGUGUGACAGAGUCUGGCUGCCAAAAGUCCACCUGAAAGAAGGCCAAAUGUACACAUAAACAAAUAAAUACAUAUGUAUGGCUGUGAUUUUCAGGUAGGGGGGUGUGUGAUGUUGAUAUUGAUUGUGAUUAAUAUACUGCAUUUCAUUCCUAUCCUAUUAUACUGACCUGACCUUUCUCAUCAGAAGUGUCCACCUAAAUUUUAACUGAAAACUGAUUAAGAAGACUUUUUAUUAGGCCCUGCAAUAUAUACGGCAGAAUUCUGGAGAUGGCAGUGGCAGUUCCACAAAUGCCAAGUAUUCUAUAGUGUCUUGAGUGCAUACAGACUUAUCAAUAUUAUAAUUAUCUUAACAAUUUCUUUCAUUCUUUAUACAAAUUUCAUUGGAUGUUUAUCUGUAAGUAUCAGACUGAAAGGAACUCCUGACUCAGUAGCAGAGAGACAACUAUAUGAAUACUUCACAUAAAUCAGCUGUGAAGGACUUGUCCGUAUGAGUGCUUUUAAGACUCGGUUCACUAAAGUUGGUGUGAAGAACCUGUGCCUUUGGAAGAGUUUUAGUUCAGAGUGGACAAAUGACAGUGUUAUUACUGUUUCAUGUAUUUUUGCUGUAGUCAGCUUCUAGAUUUCUGGAUUUAGCACCGUAUUAAACACCAACGAAAGCAAAGGUGGUUUUCCUGCCUAAUGCCUUUUCAGCCUUUCAUCUCAUGACUGUAAGGGAAACUGGGGCUGCUGGGCAUAUCCAUGGAGUACAUGUCUCCUUCAAGUGAGAAGACUAUUGCAGGUUAUACCACCACAUCAGUUCUGACGGAUUGCAUUGCAUAAUGAUGGUAGUCCAAGAACAUUUUCUUUGCUUAAAAGAAAAUGAACAAUCUGUUUAUACUACACAUCUAAAAGCAAGCAUGGUAUAUUCAUUUUCUUAAUAUUGGUAGCACCAUUCCACUAGUGUAUUCUUCUACAGAUGACUGUUCCAGCAUGUUAUACUAGCCUGCUGAUGAUAGUUCUCCACAUCUGUACUUCGUUAAAAAUAUCAUCCUUUCAUUCUACAGAUAAUGGUGUCUUUUUCAUCAACAGCUAUUUUACAAGAUCAAAGCUGAAGAGAAAUAUUGAAAACACAUUUGCUGUCUUUAUUGUUUUUUCUCAUGUCAUUUUGUCAUCACAUAUCUACAUCAAGGUCAGUAAGAAACACACAGCUUGAUGGGAGAGAAAGGAAACUUUAAAGGAAAGUCAGAGAAGAAAUGAUGACAUGAGAGACUAGAGGCCAAAGAAAAGUUCACUUUGUUGGGAGUAUGAAUUUUUUGAUUAUUUACAUGAGCAAAGUGUUUUGCCUACAACUGUAAAAGUUCUGGUAGUUGGAAUUUCUAUGUUUUAUUAAUACAUUCUGGAAAGUAUACCACACUGAAUAUAGCAAUUCAGAUUAACUUAGUCUAUUAAUAAAUCGUGGUAGGUGCUUUGAUAUUCAGACUGGGUUAACCAGACUUUCUAGCAAGGUAUUGGAAUGUAUUUGCAUAGCUUUAGCUUUAUCACCUUGUCCUGCUUCUUCUGAAGAAACAUUCCAGCUGACUUGAAUGGAAUCAAGAUUAGGUCUUUAAUUCAGUAGCAUGCAUUUCUUUUUAAAGGUAUAUGCUAGUUGAACAAUAGGAGAAAUGUUCCUUUCAAAUGCAAUAUAGCCCUUUCCCCAGGUUCUUUACCUGUAUGUUGCUGGCGAGGGAAUUGAUGAUUUCCACUUGCUCAUCAUUCUGCGGAAUCACACGAAACACUUUCUGCCUGAAAGAGGACAAAAAGAUUGGAUUUGAAACAGGCUGACUCUGACAAAGGAAGAGGAAACACAGUUGGGAUGCAGCAGUUACCUUCUUUUUUUACUCCCAAGGGAGAAGAAAAGUACUGAACUUGUUCUUUGCUCAGUCACUUCACUGAAACUUAUGAUGUCUGGUUGCAAGCCAACAGCACAUCAGCUGGCUGUGGCUGAGUAAACCUUGGCCUUUGCUAGUUAAUACUGAGUGCAGAGGGUGGUAUUACCUAUAUCUUUGGAAAGAUUCAGAAGGAAGAUUUAAUUUUUUUUAAUCAACAAACUAGCAAGACCAGCUGAAUCCUAAAAGGAGUAUGUGUAGCUAUUUCCUUCAGGACACAUAUUUUGUCUUAUAAUUAA